UGCCAGCAGCCGCGGUAAGACGAGGGGCCCGAGCGUUAAUCAGAAUUACUGGGCUUAAAGCGUGCGCAGGCGGUCCAGCAAGCAUCUUGUGAAAUCCCUCGGCUCAACCGGGGAACUGCAGGGUGAACUGCUGGACUUGAGACAGGUAGGGGCUGAUGGAACCAUGAGUGGAGCGGUGAAAUGCGUAGAUAUUCAUGGGAACGCCGAUGGGGAAGCCGAUCAGCUGGGCCUGUUCUGACGCUCAGGCACGAAAGCGUGGGGAGCAAACAGGAUUAGAUA
rnacentral:rRNA from 1 species